rnacentral:rRNA from 1 species
AUUGAACGCUGGCGGCAGGCUUAACGCAUGCAAGUCGAGCGGAGAGAGGUAGCUUGCUACUGAUCUUAGCGGCGGACGGGUGAGUAAUGCUUAGGAAUCUGCCUAUUAGUGGGGGACAACAUUUCGAAAGGAAUGCUAAUACCGCAUACGUCCUACGGGAGAAAGCAGGGGAUCUUCGGACCUUGCGCUAAUAGAUGAGCCUAAGUCGGAUUAGCUAGUUGGUGGGGUAAAGGCCUACCAAGGCGACGACCUGUAGCGGGUCUGAGAGGAUGAUCCGCCACACUGGGACUGAGACACGGCCCAGACUCCGACGGGAGGCAGCAGUGGGGAAUAUUGGACAAUGGGCGGAAGCCUGAUCCAGCCAUGCCGCGUGUGUGAAGAAGGCCUUAUGGUUGUAAAGCACUUUAAGCGAGGAGGAGGCUACUUUAGUUAAUACCUAGAGAUAGUGGACGUUACUCGCAGAAUAAGCACCGGCUAACUCUGUGCCAGCCGCCGCCGUAA